CUGAUUACUCCAGGUUCCAAUUCAAUUCCUCACAUAACGGACUACAUGCUUAUUCCCUUUUUAAUUUUUAUUUCUCGGUAUAUACAUGAUUUGAUUCCAUAUUCAAUUUACUAUCCAUGAAUUUUUAUGUACAGACGUUCUCAAAUGCUAUGGAAUACAGUUGAAGAAAUAGUUUAUUCAACCUUUUGUCUCUGUGUUUUGGUUACGGGUAUGUUUGUAUGUUUCCACUAAUUUGAAUUAAUCAAAUUUAGUUUAAAGUUCGUCUGUGUAUUUGGUUCUGCCGUGAAGAAAAUUGAUUUUGAUUGAAUUGAUUCUGUAAAAGUAAUUCUGGCUAAAAGUGAUUUACAGUAUGUUUUAGAUAAAUUGUUGCAAAAGUGAGUUGAGCUGUGUUAAGAAAGAAAAAUCAGUUCUACAUGAUUUACAGUAUGUUUUACAGUGAUUUACAGUAUGUUUUACAGUAUGUUAUAGAAAGAAAAAUCAGUUCUACAUGAGAGCAACCGAACAUGUUAAAAUCAAUUUUGGGUGAUCCAAAUGUUAUGGUAUUGAUCAAUAUGACACUCAAGGCUUAGGUCCUUAGAUUCUGCAGCUAAAUUUUAUGUCAUUAUUUGGUAAAUGAUUCUUGGAUUCGUAUUUAUGUGUGACAACUUCAGACAUUUCAAGUUCCGUCUUUUUUGAGAAGAAAAGCCAACCCUAAAAAUGUUGUUUCCAUCAUACUGGGAGGAGGUUCUGGUGUUCAACUUUUUUCUCUUACCAAACGAGCUGCUACACCAGCUGUUCCUGUUGGUGGAUGCUACAGGCUUAUAGACAUUCCAAUGAGCAACUGCAUCAACAGCGGGAUCAACAAAGUAUUUGUAUUGACACAGUUCAACUCAGCAUCCCUUAACCGUCAUAUCUCUCGCACCUAUUUUGGAAAUGGCAUCAACUUUGGAGAUGGAUACGUAGAGAAAAUGGAUCGUACUUGAAGAGAUUUUUGAUUGCUCUACUAGUGAAGCAGAUAGAGGGCAUUGAUGAAGAUAAGCGUGAUGUGACGUGAAUGAGGGUUCAAAUAGAAACAAAAGGGUG